rnacentral:rRNA from 1 species
UACGGAGGGUGCAAGCGUUAUCCGGAUUCACUGGGUUUAAAGGGUGCGUAGGUGGGUUGAUAAGUCAGUGGUGAAAUCUCCGAGCUUAACUUGGAAACUGCCAUUGAUACUAUUAGUCUUGAAUACCGUGGAGGUUAGCGGAAUAUGUCAUGUAGCGGUGAAAUGCUUAGAUAUGACAUAGAACACCCAUUGCGAAGGCAGCUGACUACGCGGAGAUUGACACUGAGGCACGAAAGCGUGGGGAUCAAACAGG